UGAACUGCCGUAGACAGCAGGUGCCGCAAGGCGUAAUGAGUUAAACUCUCCUGCCGAGGAAUGAAUCGUUUUUAAUUAUGACGAAUUUCUACUCUCAUACGGUAACGUAUGGGAGUUUUCUUUUU
rnacentral:sRNA from 1 species